UGGGGAAUAUUGGACAAUGGGCGCAAGCCUGAUCCAGCAAUGCCGCGUGAGUGAUGAAGGCCUUAGGGUUGUAAAGCUCUUUCGCACGCGACGAUGAUGACGGUAGCGUGAGAAGAAGCCCCGGCUAACUUCGUGCCAGCAGCCGCGGUAAUACGAAGGGGGCUAGCGUUGUUCGGAAUUACUGGGCGUAAAGGGCGCGUAGGCGGCCUGUUUAGUCAGAAGUGAAAGCCCCGGGCUCAACCUGGGAAUAGCUUUUGAUACUGGCAGGCUUGAGUUCCGGAGAGGAUGGUGGAAUUCCCAGUGUAGAGGUGAAAUUCGUAGAUAUUGGGAAGAACACCGGUGGCGAAGGCGGCCAUCUGGACGGACACUGACGCUGAGGCGCGAAAGCGUGGGGAGCAAACAAGAUUAGAUACCCUGGUAGUCCAUGCCGUAAACGAUGAAUGCUAGACGUCGGGGUGCAUGCACUUCGGUGUCGCCGCUAACGCAUUAAGCAUUCCGCCUGGGGAGUACGGCCGCAAGGUUAAAACUUAAAUGAAUUGACGGGGUCAUAGCUGUUUCCU
rnacentral:rRNA from 1 species